AUGGCGACACUGCUGGGCCCGCACGGUGGUCAAGCUGGGGGAUCUGGACCCGGUGUGGAACCAGCGCCUGUACUCCGGCCUGCUCAAGCUUUGUCCUUGCGCUUCUCUUUCUCCCAAGGAAUCCACUUAAGGCGCUUAAGGACCUGGACCCCGUGUGGAAACAGCGUCUGUACUCCAGAAUGCUCAAGCUUUCAAAUUCUUGCCUUCUUUCUCUCAACGAAUCUGCCCAAGGCGGUUAAGGAUCCGGACCCGCUGCACCCGGUGUGGAACCAGAGCCUGUACUCCGCCCUGCUCAAGCUUUCAAUUCCUUGCACUCUUCCUCUCAACGAAUCUGCCCAAGGCUCUUCCAGUGCCUGUGUCAAGCUUAAGGAUCUGGACCCGGAGUGGAACCAGCGCCUAUACUCUGCCCUGCUAAAGCUUUCAAAUCAUACUGCUCUUACUCUCAACGGAUCUGUCCAAGGCUGUUGCAGUGCCUGUGCCAAGCUUAAGGAUGAUCUGGACCCGGAGUGGAACCAGCACCUGUACUCAGCCCUGCCCAACCAUUCAAGUCAUAGUGCUCUUUCUCUCAACGAAUCUGCCCAAGGCUGUUGCAGGGCCUGUGUCGAGCUUAAGGAUUUGGACCCUGUGUGGAAUCACAGCUUCUACGUCGACCUGCUUCAAGUUCUUUCUCUUGAAAGACAUGCUUACAACGUCAAUGAAUCUGCCCAAGAAGGCAUUCCCACGCUUCAAAGUCUGAAGCUUUUUGGGAGGCUGUGGAAGCUGUGUGACUACUUCGAGAUGUUGGAUCUAUCCAAUCUUCGCGUGGUUAUUCUCGAAGGUGGUGCUGACAGAUUCGUCGGAUUCUAUAGCGCAUCACUCCUGCGCCUCUCUGAUUAUCUAGAGGCGUUCAAAUUACUCCUACUAUAUAAGUGGGGAACUCACUCUGACUUCAUCGAUGGAGGCUACAGCAGAGCUCAGAUUGCCAGCUUGUAUUCAGCACCAAUAUGGUUGUAUGUAUCGUGGUCGUAUGGCAAGAACAAACCAGUGUGGUUGUGUGUGGAGGUUGUAAGCGCUUAUGACCUCGCGCCCAUGGAUGAGCAGGGUUCUGCAAGUACUUUUGUUGAGAUUGCCUUUGAUAAUUUCCGGUACCGCAAGACUGUCAAGGAGAAAGAUCUGAACCCGGUGUGGAACGAGCGUUUCUACUUCGAUUUGUCACGCAGCAGGCGCAGCUGCAGCGCUACAGGAGGUAGCGGCCAGGCGGCACUAUCGACAGGCACCGUGCACUGGUGGGCAAGCCGGCCCGUGAGCGGCCCACGAAGCAGGCCAGCUGAGUUGCAGGCGUGGCACAAGGGAGCCGCUGGGCAAGAUAAGCGCAGGCUAUUGUUUGUCAAAGGGGAGUUGGCUCUCAAAGUAUACAUCACUGAUGACACCUCUAUCAGACCUUCAAACCCGUUUCUGCCUGUGGGUACUGUCAUAUGCUCUCCAACUGUUGAUGUUUCAACUAACCGGGAAAGAAUAUUACAUGGUCAGAGUUCAAGACCGCACAAUGGUGUCAUGCAAAAUGGUAAAAUGAUUGCUGUGAAGAAGAUUGUGCCGUCCUUAAGGCCAGGCCUGCAGAAGCAAUUUGAGAAUGAGGUUUAUCAUCUCAUGAUUCUGAAGCACCCCAAUAUAGUGCGGUUUGAACUCAAGAAAUGGAGAGAUGUGUUUCGGCGAUCACCGGGCUAUGGAUCCCUAGAAACAGACUGUGAACAGAUAAAGAGAUGCCUCCAAGUAGGCCUACUGUGCGUGAAUCCUGACCGCGCCAAGAGGCCCCCGAUAGGAAAGGCUGAUCUGAUGCAUGCACGCGGUGACUGGUGCUGCUGCUGUACAGGAAGUAGCGUCACACAAACUGGCUCACACACACCUCCAUCCAAGUUCACAUCAUCAGUGCCUAGUUGGAUGCGCGUCUAUCCUAUACUCGCUUACUUGCCGUCGUUACUGGUUAUGCCUAAAGAGAUGGGAGACCUCAAGGUGCCAAGCGUGCUAUGCUUGCUACUGCUCAUGCCACUCCUCUUGGUUCCUGGCUCUGAAGUCCAUUCAUGCAGCAAGUUCAGCAAGACCUAUACUGGCAAGGCUUCCUUGUGCAAGUAUGCUCCAUGUGCCAAGGCCUGCCAAAAGGAGGGCUUUGCCGAAGGGUAUGAGGAAAUGAUGAUGAGCAAUGGGUGUUGUUUCCUCCAUCGCAAGACUCUAGUGCUCCCGACCACCGCGUCGCUCUCAUGGGCGACACAAGGGAGACCCAGCCGCCGGCCACCGCUAGCCCCACUCCUCCAUCCCUCCCUCGCCGUCACCGGAGGAGGCGACCGGGCUAAGCCCAUGCCACGGACGGCGGCGACGAGGCGAGCUCUCUCUCGCGGUGCGAUGUUUUCCCCUCAGAUUCAAGGCCGAGGCGGCGGUAGGCCGUGGCGUUGGUGCUCGUCCAUGCGUGGAUGUGCUCAGGCGGUGCGUGGCCUGCUCCUCCAUGGUGCGGAGGUGCGCUGUUGGCUACCGGUGAGGCACCCUUUCCCGGCGGCCUUGCUGCUCUCGAUGCGGCACUAG
rnacentral:rRNA from 1 species